rnacentral:rRNA from 1 species
UACAGAGGUCCCAAGCGUUGUUCGGAUUCACUGGGCGUAAAGGGUGCGCAGGUGGGCUGGUAAGUACGAUGUGAAAGCCCCGGGCUUAACCCGGGAAUGGCAUUGGAUACUACUGGUCUGGAGGAUUGGAGGGGGGACUGGAAUUCUUGGUGUAGCAGUGAAAUGCGUAGAUAUCAAGAGGAACACCAGUGGCGAAGGCGAGUCCCUGGACAAUUCCUGACACUGAGGCACGAAAGCCAAGGGAGCAAACAGG